rnacentral:sRNA from 22 species
AACUGUUGCUGAUUAACCGGCACGGGCGUUGAGGGAACUCUGCGCCCGUGCGCGCAUGUUAAGGGUAAAAUAAGAGAU